rnacentral:rRNA from 1 species
UGAGUAACACGUGGAUAACCUGCCUCAAGGCUGGGGAUAACAUUUGGAAACAGAUGCUAAUACCGAAUAAAACUUAGUAUCGCAUGAUAUCAAGUUAAAAGGCGCUACGGCGUCACCUAGAGAUGGAUCCGCGGUGCAUUAGUUAGUUGGUGGGGUAAAGGCUUACCAAGACAAUGAUGCAUAGCCGAGUUGAGAGACUGAUCGGCCACAUUGGGACUGAGACACGGCCCAAACUCCUACGGGAGGCUGCAGUAGGGAAUCUUCCACAAUGGGCGCAAGCCUGAUGGAGCAACGCCGCGUGUGUGAUGAAGGCUUUAGGGUCGUAAAGCACUGUUGUAUGGGAAGAAAUGCUAAAAUAGGGAAUGAUUUUAGUUUGACGGUACCAUACCAGAAAGGGACGGCUAAAUACGUGCCAGCAGCCGCGGUAAUACGUAUGUCCCGAGCGUUAUCCGGAUUUAUUGGGCGUAAAGCGAGCGCAGACGGUUGAUUAAGUCUGAUGUGAAAGCCCGGAGCUCAACUCCGGAAUGGCAUUGGAAACUGGUUAACUUGAGUGUUGUAGAGGUAAGUGGAACUCCAUGUGUAGCGGUGGAAUGCGUAGAUAUAUGGAAGAACACCAGUGGCGAAGGCGGCUUACUGGACAACAACUGACGUUGAGGCUCGAAAGUGUGGGUAGCAAACAGGAUUAGAUACCCUGGUAGUCCACACCGUAAACGAUGAAUACUAGGUGUUAGGAGGUUUCCGCCUCUUAGUGCCGAAGCUAACGCAUUAAGUAUUCCGCCUGGGGAGUACGACCGCAAGGUUGAAACUCAAAGGAAUUGACGGGGACCCGCACAAGCGGUGGAGCAUGUGGUUUAAUUCGAAGCAACGCGAAGAACCUUACCAGGUCUUGACAUCCUUUGAAGCUUUUAGAGAUAGAAGUGUUCUCUUCGGAGACAAAGUGACAGGUGGUGCAUGGUCGUCGUCAGCUCGUGUCGUGAGAUGUUGGGUUAAGUCCCGCAACGAGCGCAACCCUUAUUGUUAGUUGCCAGCAUUCAGUUGGGCACUCUAGCGAGACUGCCGGUGACAAACCGGAGGAAGGCGGGGACGACGUCAGAUCAUCAUGCCCCUUAUGACCUGGGCUACACACGUGCUACAAUGGCGUAUACAACGAGUUGCCAACCUGCGAAGGUGAGCUAAUCUCUUAAAGUACGUCUCAGUUCGGACUGCAGUCUGCAACUCGACUGCACGAAGUCGGAAUCGCUAGUAAUCGCGGAUCAGCACGCCGCGGUGAAUACGUUCCCGGGUCUUGUACACACCGCCCGUCACACCAUGGGAGUUUGUAAUGCCCAAAGC